GAGGUUGUGGCUCAGUGGUAGAGCACUCGCCUAGCAUGUGUGAGGCCCUGAGUUCGAUCCUCAGCACCACA
rnacentral:tRNA from 1 species